UGUAUAUUUGCAGACUUUUUUCAUUUUUUUGCAUAAUACAAUAUUUGUACUGUUAGCAAAAUUGAAUGAGCACUGAAGGAAAAAACUAGUAAUUUCUCCAUUGAUGUAUCUGUAGCACCCUGUUUUAAAUUUCAAUGCUGCAGAAUACGCAAUCUUCUCAACUAUACAUGAACAUUCACUAGGAUAGACCAUUUGUGGGGCCACAGAAAAAUUAGCUCAGACAUGAUAGAAACGAGAGAUGAACCUGACUUUAUUAGAAUAAAAUGCUACUAUAAUAACAGAUGAUGGUGGAAUCUCAUCCUUUGUAGAAAUUCAUUUCUCUGCACCUUUCCUGCCUAAUCUCACUGCUGUAUUUAGAGGUUAAAACUGCCAAAGACAGCUAAGAGUUUGCCAAUUCCUCAUCAUUUGUGAGUAAUCCAGAUAUUUCUCUAGGGCUCCAGGAAACCAUGGUUUGCUGCUGUAAUCUACUACCUCUACAGAGUUUUCAACACAUGUAAACUCAGCUGUCUGAAAAUUCAAGUUGACCAACAAAAUUAGAUGACGUUUCCUGAGUUGUUGAUGUUCUGAAAACCUGUUUGAAUUUAAUAUCCAGGAAAAAGAAAACUCACAAUGAGGGCUGCUUAAAUUUAUUUCAACAACUUUGAAGUAUUACAUCAACAAACGAUCAUCGGAGAACCUGGCUGCGCCCUGGUUGUUGACUGAUCUCCUGGCUCUGGUGUGGUUCCUUUGCCGCUGACACUCAUCAUCCCGCUCGGCCCCUGAGCUCCCCAGGCUGGCCCUGAGGUGCUCUAUAGACCUGCUGCCCGGCGAGGAGCAGCAUUUCUCUACAGAUCUGUAUCC
rnacentral:lncRNA from 1 species